rfam:Dipodomys ordii contig_84789, whole genome shotgun sequence.
GGGAAUGUGUCCUAGUGGUAGGGUGCUUGCCUCGCAUGCAUGAGGCCCUGGGUUCAAUUCCUCAGCACCA